CCUACGGGCGGCAGCAGUGAGGAAUAUUGGUCAAUGGGCGGGAGCCUGAACCAGCCAAGCCGCGUGAGGGAAGAAGGUACAGCGUAUCGUAAACCUCUUUUGUCGGGGAGCAAAAGCCGGACGUGUCCGGCUGUGAGAGUACCCGAAGAAAAAGCAUCGGCUAACUCCGUGCCAGCAGCCGCGGUAAUACGGAGGAUGCGAGCGUUAUCCGGAUUUAUUGGGUUUAAAGGGUGCGCAGGCGGAUUUUUAAGUCAGCGGUCAAAUCGUGGGGCUCAACCCCAUCCAGCCGUUGAAACUGGGGAUCUAGAGUGUGCGAGAGGUAUGCGGAAUGCGUGGUGUAGCGGUGAAAUGCAUAGAUAUCACGCAGAACCCCGAUUGCGAAGGCAGCAUACCGGUGCACAACUGACGCUCAGGCACGAAAGCGUGGGUAUCGAACAGGAUUAGAUACCCUAGUAGUC
rnacentral:rRNA from 1 species